GACGAACGCUGGCGGCGUGCUUAACACAUGCAAGUCGAGCGACAGCGCUUCCUUCGGGGGGUGUAUGGAGCGGCGAACGGGUGAGUAACACGUGAGUAACCUGCCCUCAGCUUUGGGAUAACCCCGGGAAACCGGGGCUAAUACCGGGUAGGACUCCUCAUCGCAUGGUGGGGGGUGGAAAGUUUUUCGGCUGGGGAUGGGCUCGCGGCCUAUCAGCUUGUUGGUGGGGUGAUGGCCUACCAAGGCGACGACGGGUAGCCGGCCUGAGAGGGCGACCGGCCACACUGGGACUGAGACACGGCCCAGACUCCUACGGGAGGCAGCAGUGGGGAAUAUUGCACAAUGGGCGAAAGCCUGAUGCAGCGACGCCGCGUGAGGGAUGACGGCCUUCGGGUUGUAAACCUCUUUCGACCCUGACGAAGCGUAAGUGACGGUAGGGGUAGAAGAAGCGCCGGCCAACUACGUGC
rnacentral:rRNA from 1 species